AGUGAACGCUGGCGGUAGGCCUAACACAUGCAAGUCGAACGGCAGCACAGUAAGAGCUUGCUCUUACGGGUGGCGAGUGGCGGACGGGUGAGGAAUACAUCGGAAUCUACUUUUUCGUGGGGGAUAACGUAGGGAAACUUACGCUAAUACCGCAUACUACCUACGGGUGAAAUCAGGGGAUCUUCGGACCUUGCGCGAUUGAAUGAGCCGAUGUCGGAUUAGCUAGUUGGCGGGGUAAAGGCCCACCAAGGCGACGAUCCGUAGCUGGUCUGAGAGGAUGAUCAGCCACACUGGAACUGAGACACGGUCCAGACUCCUACGGGAGGCAGCAGUGGGGAAUAUUGGACAAUGGGCGCAAGCCUGAUCCAGCCAUACCGCGUGGGUGAAGAAGGCCUUCGGGUUGUAAAGCCCUUUUGUUGGGAAAGAAAAGCAGCAGGUUAAUACCCCGCUGUUCUGACGGUACCCAAAGAAUAAGCACCGGCUAACUUCGUG
rnacentral:rRNA from 1 species